rnacentral:lncRNA from 1 species
CUUGGAAGAAUGAUUUCCCAAAAAAAAUCCAGCUGCUCCACAUGAAUUCUCUACUGUAUAUCAUACCAUACAGUAUAUAGCAUAUUUUAUCCAUCGACUGUACAUAGCCAUAUACAAUAGAUGUGCAUUCAUAUACGGCCGUCCAUCGUGUGAUGGAUGGUGCGCUGUACACCGCAUCGUGCGGUGCACAACAGAGAACCCGAGCUCCCAACUCCUCUGCAGUUGUGUGAUUUAGCCAUUGCUUUUCUUUAUUGCUUUUCGCUUUGAAGAAUGAUUUCCUAAGAAAACUCGGCUCCUUUGCGGUG